rnacentral:rRNA from 1 species
GACGGGGGUCGUAGCGUUGUUCGGAAUUAUUGGGCGGUAAAGGGAGUGCAGGUGGCUUUGUAAGUUGGAUGUGAAAUCCCCGACGCUUAACUCGGGACGUGCAUUCAAAACUGCAGAGCUUGAGUACGGGAGAGGGUCGUGGAAUUCCUGGUGUAGUGGUGAAAUACGUAGAUAUCAGGAGGAACACCGGCGGCGAAGGCGGCGACCUGGCCCAUUACUGACACUCAUACUCGAAAGCGUGGGUAGCAAACAGGAUUAGAAACCCCCGUGU